GGCAUCUCUGCCACCACCACCUGUCAAUAUUCAGGAGCCUAUGUAACAGACGCUGGCUGGCUGCUGGAGGAACAUCAUAUUUCCAUGGACUUUCUUAUAAACGGCACCCUCCAAAACUUUCACAGAGACGGACUCUGCUCACUCCUGCAUUCCAAAUAUCUCAUGAGUUCAUCAAUACAGAAUUCUAGCAUCAAAAGAAUCUAGGAAGUGUAACUGAACUUUCCAAUCUUCCCAAAGAGAGAAAAGAUGCAAGGGAGACUGAGUGAACCAACAUAAAUAAUACAGCAGAAAUACCAUUAACAAUGCUAUGCAAAAAAAUUGUAUAUUUGAAAUCUUCUAAUAUUUCUUAUCUGUCAAUAUAGAAAUAUGGAUGUCAUAGAAAAGGCAUAAAUUAGAAUAGAAGUUUUGCAUAUAUAUUUCUAACCUGAGUGCUUAUUUAUAAUAUGGAAAUCGGUUUCUAGGACAAGGAAGAAAAGAGAAAUCGCUCUUUUAUUUAAUCAGGAAAGUUUAUGAAAGGCAGGAGAUUCUGAGACCUCUCCAUAAAGGAAAAGGAAGCUUCUUUGCAAACAAAGAAUAAUGAUUCACUUCAGCUCUAGAGAAAUGUAUGAAGGAAGGGAGGAAAAGAGUUGAAAUUCAGAAUAAGAGUGUGAUUCCAUUACCUGAAGAGGCAAAAGAGCAGGAGGAAAUUGGACAAUCUAGGCUACAUAAUGUUGAAGUGUACAGAAAAGGAAGCUGAGAUUGAAAUACUGGAGUGUGAUGAAUGAAACCCAGAGACCAAUGUCCCAAACAUAGCCCAGUCUGCAUCUCCCACAUGAAGGAACCCAAGGAAUGGUCACGUUUCCAUAUAUCCCCACUUAAGUGACAUGAGAUGGAUGGGUUUCCACAAGGAUCAGCUGGAGGAGUUUCACAUCCAUCUGGCAAAGCUGCAUGAAGAUAAGCCUCGUGUUUUCCAGGGAACUGCAUUGCUCUACAGAGGCAAUGCCGAAUUAUUCAAUUGCUUUAUGAAUAUUUCCUCCCAUUAACCUCUCUCUGAAAAUUUGCUGAUACGCAUUAAGUGUCUCUUAACCAAAAUGCUUGGAACCGGGAGUGUUUUGAAUUUUUUCAGAUUUUGGAAUAUUUGCAUAGACAUAAUGAGAACUCUUAGGGAUGGGACCCAAGUCUAAACGCAAAAUUCAUUACUGUUUCAUAUGUAUCCUAUACAUAUAGCCUCAAAGUAAUUUUAUAAAAUAUUUUAAAUAAUAUUGUGC
rnacentral:lncRNA from 1 species